rnacentral:RNase_P_RNA from 1 species
GGAGUCGGCCGGGUGGCGGCCCCGAUCGAGCUUCGGCAAGGUCGGGGAGGAAAGUCCGGACUUCACAGAGCGCGGCGCCCGGCGCAAGCCGGGGCAGGGCGACCUGACGGAAAGUGCCACAGAAACGACACCGCCGGCCCGCAAGGGCCGGUAAGGGUGAAAUGGUGAGGUAAGAGCUCACCGGCGUUGCGGGCAACCGCGACGCCGGGCAAACCCCGCCGGAAGCAAGGCCGAAUAGGGAGGGGUUGACGCGGCUCGCCGACCCUCCGGGUUGGCCGCAUAGACAAAUCGCCACACAAACACAGAAUCCGGCUUACAGACCGACUCCCAAA